rnacentral:rRNA from 1 species
UAGACCUCAGAUCAGGCAGGAUUACCCGCUGAACUUAAGCAUAUCAAUAAGCGGAGGAAAAGAAACUAACAAGGAUUCCCCUAGUAACGGCGAGUGAAGCGGGAAGAGCUCAAAUUUGUAAUCUGGCCCUUUCAGGGUCCGAGUUGUAAUCUCGAGAAGUGUUUUCCGCGCCGGACCGCAUACAAGUCUGUUGGAAUACAGCGUCAUAGUGGUGAGAGCCCCGUAAUUGAUGUGGAUGCCCGGUGCUUUGUGAUACACUUUCGAAGAGUCGAGUUGUUUGGGAAUGCAGCUCAAAUUGGGUGGUAAAUUCCAUCUAAAGCUAAAUAUUGGCGAGAGACCGAUAGCGAACAAGUACCGUGAGGGAAAGAUGAAAAGCACUUUGGAAAGAGAGUUAACAGUACGUGAAAUUGUUGGAAGGGAAACGCUUGAAGUCAGACUUGCUAUUCGGAAUUCAGCCGCAAGGUGUACUUUUCGAUUUGCAGGCCAGCAUCAGUUUUUGGGGGUGGAAAAGGGUGGAGAGAAGGUAGCAACCUUGGUUGUGUUAUAGCUCUUUACUGGAUUCAUCUUUGGGGACUGAGGAUCGCAGUGCGCAAUUUACUUUGCAAACCUUUCGAGGUUU